UGGAAGUAUAAAAACGUAACAAGGUCUCCGUAGGUGAACCUGCGGAGGGAUCAUUACACAAAUAUGAAGGCGGGCUGGAACCUCUCGGGGUUACAGCCUUGCUGAAUUAUUCACCCUUGUCUUUUGCGUACUUCUUGUUUCCUUGGUGGGUUCGCCCACCACUAGGACAAACAUAAACCUUUUGUAAUUGCAAUCAGCGUCAGUAACAAAUUAAUAAUUACAACUUUCAACAACGGAUCUCUUGGUUCUGGCAUCGAUGAAGAACGCAGCGAAAUGCGAUAAGUAGUGUGAAUUGCAGAAUUCAGUGAAUCAUCGAAUCUUUGAACGCACAUUGCGCCCUUUGGUAUUCCAAAGGGCAUGCCUGUUCGAGCGUCAUUUGUACCCUCAAGCUUUGCUUGGUGUUGGGCGUCUUGUCUCUAGCUUUGCUGGAGACUCGCCUUAAAGUAAUUGGCAGCCGGCCUACUGGUUUCGGAGCGCAGCACAAGUCGCACUCUCUAUCAGCAAAGGUCUAGCAUCCACUAAGCCUUUUUUCAACUUUGACCUCGGAUCAGUAGCAUCCCGGUA
rnacentral:rRNA from 1 species